UGGUUGGUCGUCCCACAGCUGGUGGACGUACAGGCUGGAAUGACACACCCCUGGCACGUCUUGGGAUGCUGGAAGAGCCUUCAUGGGAGGUCCUGGCGAGUGCCUGGUGGAUUCUUGGAGCCCAGAUACCCACGGGGACAUAGGACCGUCAUGCCAGUGAGGGCUGAGACCUGCCUGGUUUGGUCUCUGCCAGCUCCCCUUGGGACUUCCUGUGAAUCCUGUUCCACCUAGGAAUUAGGUGCUUUUACUCUGAGAAAAUACAUAGCCCUUCAGCACUCCAGAAAGACUUGAGAACUGUUCUUCCCUGGACUAAGCCUGGAACAUUUGGGGACUGGAGAAUUAAGAUGAAAAAAGUCCCGAAAGGGAAACAGCUCACCGAUAUGGAAGGGCUGAAACAAAAAAAUGGCUGAAGCACCAAAAAGGCAUCCAAACGGAUAAGCUCAGAGACUGUUCUGAGCAGUGGAAAAAAGCAUCUCGAUAGUAUUGCAUCCAAGAGAGAGGAUUUUG